rnacentral:rRNA from 1 species
AACGAACGCUGGCGGCAUGCCUAACACAUGCAAGUCGAACGAGACCUUCGGGUCUAGUGGCGCACGGGUGCGUAACGCGUGGGAACCUGCCCUUAGGGUCGGAAUAACUCCCCGAAAGGGGUGCUAAUACCGGAUAAUGUCUUCGGACCAAAGAUUUAUCGCCUUUGGAUGUGCCCGCGUUGGAUUAGCUAGUUGGUAGGGUAAAAGCUUACCAAGGCGACGAUCCAUAGCUGGUCUGAGAGGAUGGUCAGCCACACUGGGACUGAGACACGGCCCAGACUCCUACGGGAGGCAGCAGUGGGGGAUAGUGGACCAUGGGGGAAGGCCUGAUGCAGCAAGGACGCGUGAGUGAUGAAGGCCUUAGGGAUGUAAAGCUCUUUUAACCGGGAUGAUAAUGACAGUACCGAGAGAAUAAGCCCCGGCUAACUCCGUG